ACUGCUGGAAUAUAAACGACUGCAACAAUGUACCGUAAAUCUAUACGGGUGCUCUUCGACUGCUUGUCGAAGUCCUUUUUGUCCCAGCCGAUAGGUCUCUAGACGUUACAGAGAACCCCGUACAACCCAAACUGUUAACCUUCAAUACUGCUUUGUACUUACGAUCUUGUAUCCACUGACUGUCUUGUUAGAUUAACCCAAUAAAUUUCAUUCACUCUGCAUACUCAAUCCUAUAGACACCCUUUUAAUCCUUCAAUCACAGACGUAACUCGAUUUCACAAAACAGUCAAGAGUAUUCAAACCCACUUCAUUUA
rnacentral:lncRNA from 1 species